AGUAAGCAGAGCUUCUGUUAGGCGCUCGCAGGUUCGCUCUGACUACUCAGGUUGCCCGAUCUGCCGCUUCCCGAAAAGCGCAAGAACCGCCCAGCGCGGAAAAUAACACGUCAGGGGAUUGAAUGUCGAGAACACCAAGGAGGGAGGGGUUGCAUUUUUACACAGGCGCAGGAGAAAGAGAUCAUGAACCUUGUUUUGGCAAAUAAUGCAAUCAAACUUAGAGAAAUUCAAACCCAUUGUCAAUGAUCACACGAUUUUUAAUAAUGUCCAAUGAGUCUCUCUGUCAACAACAGCCUGUAUCCUUAAACAUCAAGUCCAGAUGAAACAACUGUAUAGAGUGUCAUUUGAGAGAAAUUCAGACAGGGUGAAAGUCCUGCGGCGUGAAUAUGUGGAGAGAGUUUUGCAAAUGGAUGCGGAUGAAGUCCAGCAUUAAUUUAUAUACAUCUAUGAGGCUGGAUUUAACCAGAGUAUAUUGAGAAGAAGAGGAAGAAAUAUCAUUGGCCACAGGGCUAUUGUCAAUGUACCAGGGCAACCUGGGGGUAACAUUAGCCUUUGUGCAGCCAUAUCACAAAAUGGGGUCCUCCAUCGUCAUGCCAACUGAGGUCCUUAAAACACUGACGUCAUUCUUAUAUUUUUGAAUAGAUUACACCACAUUAUCACAGCCGCAAACCAAAGGGACCAGAUGAGAUACAUUGUUGUCUGGGACAACGUAUCUAUCCAUCGUUCUGCUGAGGUUCACAACUGGUUUCAGCAACAGCUGCAAUUUACAGCUGUACACCUUCCACCAAACUCCCCCUCCCUAAACCCCAUUGAGGAGUUCUCCUCAGCGUGGCGGUGGAAGGUGUAUGAUCUCCGGCCGUAUGUUCAGAUGCCGCUUAUCCAAGCUGUGGAGGAAGCCUGUGACCAAAUUGAUGUAACAGCAAUACAGGGAUGGAUUCAUCACUCCAGAAGAUUCUUCCCACGUUGUCUUGUUAAUGAUAACAUAGCCUGUGAUGUUGAUGAGGCCCUGUGGCCAGACCCAGCUAGGCGGAGAGGCACAGAUCAUGUUUAGUGUGAUGUUCUUUCUUUUCUGGACUUACAUAAUUACAAAAAACUGUGGCAUGAAGAGAAAUAAGUAAUUCCAUUGGUUUGCACAAGUGUUGUCAUGUAGUGUUUAUGAACCUAUUUUUACACUUUCUCUGUGUGAAUGUUAAAAGUGUUUUAAGAUAAGCACAGGAGUGUUUGAAUCAAACAGAAUCAGACCAUGUUGGAUGUUUUGACAAGAAAAUAGGGUUUUCGUAAGAAAUUGUAGAGAUUUGACUAAAGUGUUCCAUUUUGCAAAUAAUCUGAGGUGUUGUGCUAGUUGUGUGAAGUGUUUUACUAAUUGUGUGAAAUGUUAUGAAAAACUGAGCCCUGUUUUCAAAAUUGUGCUUAAGCAAUUGAAAAAAAACUGUAAUAAGCUUCCACGAUUAUUUGUACUGCAACGUUCUAAAUGCUUUAAUGAAUACACAGGU